rnacentral:lncRNA from 1 species
AUGAAUAAAGAAUCCUCUAUGUUUUCUGCUAUCUUUACAAUGACAACAGAGGCAAUGGUGGAGAGCAAUGAAAUUAUUAAGAUAUACAUCUUCCUAGCUAACCUGGUGAAUUCUCUCAGGGAGGAGGAUGGAGGACUUGCAUCCUAAGGCUUAUAAAAUUAGCUGAAAAAAUAGGUGCCCAGAUUGUUGCAAAACUAGAAAAAGCUUUUCAUGAAACAUCUAGCACAGACAAAAGACAAACAUCAAGAGGGAUUUUCCUUAAAGCUCCAAAAACUCUAGGCUUACUGACAAGCACUGAGAAGUUAAAAGCACACCACCUGCUGAUUCAGAGCUGAAUGAGUCAAAGCAAACACAUAAAAAACUCAAAGAAUUAGGAAGAAAUAACUAGACUUCAAGUUGGGGUUUAAGUUUUUGCAAAAGGUAACUUUAAACUCAAAAAGCCUGUGAGUACUAAGAAACUUCUAAGCUAAAUAAAAUUUGUGCAGAAAGACUAUAAGCUAUAAGACUAUAAGGCUAUAAGCCCAUUGACAACCCACCAGUCUUGGCAGUCCCUGACCACACCUUGAAAUAUAAAGCUUUGGUUCUGUGCUCAGAAUUCCAGAGCGGCAACUUAUGAUAAGAUGAUUAGAUCAAGUUAAGUCAUUCCUGAGAUGAGUGAGCACUCUAUGGAGACCAUUCCUGAGGGGCUCAAAAAGGGGCAACAACACCUGUCUCAUCAGGUGAGGUUGAACAAAGAGGAUCAUAGAUGCCAAAGCAUCAGCAACAGAUUGAUAAACUGGAACAUGUCCUCACACAGAUGCAGGCAUUGUCCUUAUCAGGAAGAACUGACCGGACCACACAGCAGCAACAGCAUCCCUCACAGUUGGCAUGCAGCUCAGAGGUUCUCAAACUCAGAACGACUGAAAAGAGGUAUACAACCUUUAUAGUUUAACUCUGCAGGCAAGCUGACUUUGAAGGAGCUGGGUGUAGUUCAUUCAGAGUCGGGAGAAAGAAGCCAACUCAUUUUCUAUAAGACAUGUGCAUAUACAGCUUCAACUAUUUACAAGAAGGAAUGGCAUUCGACAUAGACCGACUUUCAAAAACCUUCAAAACUGCAAAGAAUAAAACUCUGAAGUCUGAUCUGUAUGAUUUGAUGUAUGGGAUGAGCUUUGGAGGCAGAAAAAAAUGCAAUAAUAAAUCUGUGUGAAGAUAAAGAAGCCCAUUCUAAAGAAUUCUUAUGUGUUCUUUAGGAUGUACAGCAAGAGAAAUGGGAAGAAACAAGUGUGAACAGUGGAUGGCAAGCGUACAAACACAAGAAGAAAGUCUCUUUUCCAUGGAAAAAGUCACUAGGUCUCUGGAGAAGUCUAGAAAUGCUAACAGUGUGAUUGUAGCUGACCUCAUGGAGCCAAUCAAGAUCAUCAGUCCAUGAGUAAAUAGAAAUGGACACUGAAGCAAGACCUGGAGGAUGUGAGUCUCAAACAUGCACCUGAGCUCUGGCUGACAGCACGAUCGAGCUCCAGCAGAUAGAAUGUUGAGAUUCUAGAAGUGAAAGGAACCUUUGAGAGAACUCUGAGGACACAGAGCUCUGUGAAGACCUGGCUCAUGCCAUGAGUAUCUGAACAUGCUUCCCGGAGGCUCUGGAAGACACUUGGACUCUGCCAGCCUGCCAGGGAAAAGGGAGGCACCCAGUACAGCUCCAGGAACUGCAGCACAUGCUAUACUAGAAGGAGGCCGUGGAUCAGGAGAAGAAUAACUUCAUGGUGAAGCAAGGCAAACAUGUUAUGAUCUCCCUGGUAAGUAUCCCAGGAGUCCUGAUACCACCUUCUGGAAAACACAUGUGGCAAAACUCCUGGAAACACAGGAACAAGAGAGAUGAAAGUGUCUAAGGUUUCAUUGUAACCCCACUGUCAGACCUCAAAGAGAGAAAUCCAUAUCCCUGAAGUCUUCAGAAUGAAGCAAUUGUUGUGUGAAAUGGCGUGCAGACACCUGGAGUGGUUUAAGGAGAAGAAUGAGCUCCUGCCAGGUCAGCUAGGUGGCAUUAAAAGACAGAAGGACAACAGUGAU